rnacentral:rRNA from 1 species
AGUGGCGGACGGGCGAGUAACGCGUGGGUAACCUGCCUCAUACAGGGGGAUAACAGUUAGAAAUGACUGCUAAUACCGCAUAAGACCACAGCACCGCAUGGUGCAGGGGUAAAAACUCCGGUGGUAUGAGAUGGACCCGCGUCUGAUUAGGUAGUUGGUGGGGUAACGGCCUACCAAGCCGACGAUCAGUAGCCGACCUGAGAGGGUGACCGGCCACAUUGGGACUGAGACACGGCCCAA